UACGGAGGGUGCAAGCGUUAUCCGGAAUCAUUGGGUUUAAAGGGUCCGUAGGCGGGCUGAUAAGUCAGUGGUGAAAUGCAGGGGCUCAACUCCGGCACUGCCAUUGAUACUGUUAGUCUUGAAUUAUUGUGAAGUGGCUAGAAUAUGUAGUGUAGCGGUGAAAUGCUUAGAUAUUACAUAGAAUACCGAUUGCGAAGGCAGGUCACUAACAAUACAUUGACGCUGAGGGACGAAAGCGUGGGUAGCGAACAGG
rnacentral:rRNA from 1 species